ensembl:misc_RNA Metazoa_SRP Metazoan signal recognition particle RNA
GCUGGGCGUGGUGGCGCACACCUGCAGUCCCAGCUACUGAAGAGGCUGAGGUGGGAGGAUCACUUGAGCCCAGGAAUUUGAGGCUGCAGUGAGCUGAGAUCUGCCACUGCACUCCAGCCUGGGCGACAGAGUGAGAACCUGUCUCAA